CCUGGGAAUGCUGCAAGGAAAGCCCAGCGCUGCCCUCCGGGACUCCAGCGUGCUCACAGGAGUCACAGGAGCCGUCCACUUCGCCUCCUUUGUCCACGCUCUGAAACGAAGGGGGAAGGCCACUUGGCAAUCCCAGACUAGUGGAAGGAGACAGUAUUACAGACUAGGAAACAAGAUGUCUGCCCUGAAGAAGCCAAUGGAAGCUUGUAAAAAUCCACCUCUGUCUCACCAUUCCAAGGUCCUAUGCAUAUAUUGACCAUAUGUUGAAUUGAACGGUGUCAUUGAAGCUGGUAUUGUUUGUGAAAUCCUAGAAAGUGACUUGUGUGCUGUGAGUAGGAGUUGACCAAAUCAGAGCAACUGGGGCCAGCUGGAGAAAUGUCACCUUUGGGUCAGCAGGCCUAUCUGUCAGCUGUCACAGGGAUCUUAGGAAAACAUUCAGAUCUACUUGAUGUACCAGAGAAUUCCAAAGACAAUGGAGAACGGAUUUUAUUUUCCUCAAGCACGUCUCUGAAUAUACGCAGUUCAGGACUCAUGAAGCCCCGCAAGAGUCAUGAGGAAUGUUCCUGAAGCAUUUGUUUGACUUGAUAGAAAAUAAUUUUCUAUUCUUUUAUUUUUAACCAAGUAUACAUGCAUUAUGAGACAAGAUACCUUAUGAUGAAGUUCAGUGUAAAAUUCAAGAUUUUGAAGAAUUGUGAUUCCUUCUUUGGGUCUGACUCUUAGAUUUAGGGGAAUAUUUUUCCCUUUCCCCUACCAAUAUGGUUA